rnacentral:rRNA from 1 species
AGAACGAACGCUGGCGGCAUGCCUAACACAUGCAAGUCGAACGAGACCUUCGGGUCUAGUGGCGCACGGGUGCGUAACGCGUGGGAAUCUGCCCAAAGGUUCGGAAUAACUCAGGGAAACUUGAGCUAAUACCGGAUGAUGUCGCAAGACCAAAGAUUUAUUGCCUUUGGAUGAGCCCGCGUAGGAUUAGCUUGUUGGUGAGGUAAAGGCUCACCAAGGCUACGAUCCUUAGCUGGUCUGAGAGGAUGAUCAGCCACACUGGGACUGAGACACGGCCCAGACUCCUACGGGAGGCAGCAGUGGGGAAUAUUGGACAAUGGGCGAAAGCCUGAUCCAGCAAUGCCGCGUGAGUGAUGAAGGCCCUAGGGUUGUAAAGCUCUUUACCCGGGAAGAUAAUGACUGUACCGGGAGAAUAAGCCCGGCUAACUCCGCGCCAGCAGCCGC